rnacentral:tRNA from 1 species
AAACAGGUAAGCUAAAAAAGCUACUGGGUUCAUACCCCAUCUAUAAAGGUCCAACCCCUUUCCUAUUUA